AUCAUCAUGCUGAAGCAUAAAAGGCAUUACCAAAAAAAGAGCAAUAAAAGAAGAGGAUUUUGUUCUCAAAUUUAUAUUUUCAAUCGCCGGGAAAAAUAUGCCACCAAAGCAAAUUCCGGCGUCAGUCGAAGUCGUCGACCUCGACAGUAGCGACGAUGAAGGAGUGGCAGCUACUACGGCGAACCGCAAACCUGCAUAUAGCGAUAAAUUGCAAGCGAAGGCACCUAGUAAGGGCGCAGCUCAGCUGGCGUCGGUGGUGAAUAAUCAGUCAAUUGAAGAUCGAAGUUUCUGGAGAGCCGGAGCUUAUGAAAUUGGCACCACCAAAUCCUCUCUAUUGCAAGGUGAUCUGGAGCAUGCGCGUUGAUGAUGUGGCGAAUUUUUGAUGGGAGUAAAUGCAAAUAGUAAAUGAUCACAACACUGAAAAUUACGUGGUUCGAUUUACUGAGUGAACAUGCUAAACAAGCUCGGUCGCAAAUCCUCCGAAUCUAAUGA